rnacentral:rRNA from 3 species
CUGACCUCAAAUCAGGUAGGACUACCCGCUGAACUUAAGCAUAUCAAUA